UACGGAAGGCAGCAGUGGGGAAUAUUGCACAAUGGGCGCAAGCCUGAUGCAGCCAUGCCGCGUGUAUGAAGAAGGCCUUCGGGUUGUAAAGUACUUUCAGUCGUGAGGAAGGUGUUAAGGUUAAUAACCUUAGCAAUUGACGUUAGCGACAGAAGAAGCACCGGCUAACUCCGUGCCAGCAGCCGCGGUAAUACGGAGGGUGCGAGCGUUAAUCGGAAUUACUGGGCGUAAAGGGCACGCAGGCGGUUAAUUAAGUUGGAUGUGAAAUCCCCGGGCUUAACCUGGGAAUGGCAUUCAAGACUGGUUAGCUAGAGUCUUGUAGAGGGGGUAGAAUUCCAUGUGUAGCGGUGAAAUGCGUAGAGAUGUGGAGGAAUACCGGGUGGCGAAGGCGGCCCCUGGGACAAAGGCUGACGCUCAUGUGCGAAAGCGUGGGGAGCAAACAGGGAUUAGAUACC
rnacentral:rRNA from 1 species